rnacentral:rRNA from 1 species
UGCGCAGGCGGAGGAUUAAGUCAGUGGUGAAAUCUCACAGCUCAACUGUGAAACUGCCAUUGAAACUGAUUUUCUUGAAUACGGUUGAGGUAGGCGGAAUACGUUAUGUAGCGGUGAAAUGCUUAGGUAUAACGUAGAACACCGAUUGCGAAGGCAGCUUACUAAGCCGUUAUUGACGCUGAGGCACGAAAGCGUGGGGAGCGAACAGGAUUAGAUACCCUGGUAGUCC